GGGGUGGGGAUCUUGACCGUUUACAAGUUUUCAAACAAGAGGGGGUGGGGUGACCCCCUAGGGACUUCCCUUUAUUUCAUUUCAUUUAUUUAUUGUCCCCUACAAGAAUAUAUAUGGUGGGGUGGGAUCUGACCGUUUACAAGUAAUAGAACAUUCUCAAAUUGAGCGGGGUAGGGGUAACCCCCAUGAACUCUCCCUAUAUUUCAGUUGUUGUGUUUUAUUGUCCCCUACAAGAAGUAUAUGGUUUAGGGGUGGCGAUCUGGACCGUUUACAAGGGUAAUAGCACAUCUCAAAUUGAAUGGGUGGGGGUGACCCCCAGGACUUCCCUUUAAUUUCAUUGAUUUGUUUAUUGUCCCCUACAAGAAUAUAUAUGGUUAGGGUGGGGAUCUGGACCGUUUACAAGUUUUUCAAACAAGAGGGGGUGGGGUGACCCCCUAGGGACUUCCCUUUUAUUUCAUUUCAUUUAUUUUAUUGUCCCCUACAAGAAUAUAUAUGGUUUAGGGGUGGGGAUCUUGACCGUUUACAAGUUUUCAAAAAGAGGGGGUAGGGUGACCCCCUAGGGACUUCCCUUUUAUUUCAUUUCAUUUAUUUUAUUGUCCCCUACAAGAAUAUAUAUGGUUUAGGGGUGGGGAUCUGGACCGUUUACAAGAUAAUAGCACAUUCUCAAAUUGAACGGGGUGGGGGCGACCCCCAGGGACUUCUCCUUUAAUUCAUUAAAUUUGUUUUAUCGUCCCAUUCAAGAAUAUACAUGGUUUAGGGGUGGGGAUUUAGACCCUUUACAAGAUAAUAGCAUAUUCUCAAAUUUAAGGGGUGGGGGAUGACCCCCUAGAGAUUCCCCCUUUAUUUCACGUGAUUUGUUUUAUUGUCACUUGAUCAUUUCUGAAGACUGUGUGUGUUUAUCACUUAAAGUUUUGAAGUUAUAUUCAUUUGAAAAUUUUCUAAAAUAAAAUCCCAUAGGGUUCUAUAGUAAACCCCUCCCUUCUUUUAGCCCCCAAAAAUACCCCUUAAUAGACCCCAAUGCACAAACGAACGAUUGAUGGCUCACCUAGACAUGUUAGUCUAACAUUUUAUGAAAUCCUAAGUAAAUCUGACAAGUGGUUUUGGAGAAACACUGCGGACAAGUUCAUUUUUUAAAGUGGCGGAAAAAGAAAAAGAAAAAGAAAAAGAAGAAUAAUAAAAAUAAUAAGAACUGAGCAAAAACAAUAAGUCUCCAAACUUUGUUUGGGAGACUUAAUAAUUA
rnacentral:lncRNA from 1 species